AACGAACGCUGGCGGCAUGCCUAACACAUGCAAGUCGAACGAGAUCUUCGGGUCUAGUGGCGCACGGGUGCGUAACGCGUGGGAAUCUGCCCUUUGGUUCGGAAUAACAGUUGGAAACGACUGCUGAUACCGGAUGAUGACGAAAGUCCAAAGAUUUAUCGCCAGAGGAUGAGCCCGCGUAGGAUUAGCUAGUUGGUGUGGUAAAGGCGCACCAAGGCGACGAUCCUUAGCUGGUCUGAGAGGAUGAUCAGCCACACUGGGACUGAGACACGGCCCAGACUCCUACGGGAGGCAGCAGUGGGGAAUAUUGGACAAUGGGCGAAAGCCUGAUCCAGCAAUGCCGCGUGAGUGAUGAAGGCCUUAGGGUUGUAAGGCUCUUUUACCCGGGAUGAUAAUGACAGUACCGGGAGAAUAAGCUCCGGCUAACUCCGUGCCAGCCGCCGCGGUAA
rnacentral:rRNA from 1 species